rnacentral:tRNA from 1 species
AGGGUAGCUCAGUGGUAGAGCAGAGGACUCAUAAGCCUUUGGUCGGUUGUUCGAAUCAACUCCU